rnacentral:rRNA from 1 species
CUACGGGGUGCAGCAGUGGGGAAUAUUGGACAAUGGGGGAAACCCUGAUCCAGCAAUGCCGCGUGUGUGAAGAAGGCCUGCGGGUUGUAAAGCACUUUCGGUUGGGAGGACUGCUUCUAGCACUAAUAUUGUUGGAAGUUGACGUUACCUUCAGAAGAAGCACCGGCUAACUCCGUGCCAGCAGCCGCGGUAAUACGGAGGGUGCAAGCGUUAAUCGGAAUUACUGGGUGUAAAGCGCGCGUAGGCGGCUAGAUCAGUCGGGUGUGAAAGCCCCGGGCUUAACCUGGGAACUGCAUCCGAUACUGUCUAGCUUGAGUACAGGAGAGGAGAGUGGAAUUCCACAUGUAGCGGUGAAAUGCGUAGAUAUGUGGAGGAACACCAAUGGCGAAGGCAGCUCUCUGGCCUGAUACUGACGCUGAGGUGCGAAAGCGUGGGGAUCAAACAGGAUUAGAUACCCCUGUAGUC